GAAAAAUACAGACAACAGAAGCAUUUACAUAUCUCAAUAACUGGAAAGAAUCCUGAGGACACAAUACUUCAAUAAAAUAUUAUCAUGACUUGUUUAGACUUUAGUUCUUCAAAGUAAGCACUCAUACUCUUCCUCUUACGCUUUAUUGGCUAGUGUUCCUCCUUGAAUCAGCAAGCUUUUGCCAUAUUCCCAAAUUUUUUACAUCUAUAGCAUGUGAUAUUCCUUUAUGCCAGAAAACCUUUUCAUCAUGACUUGUCUUCUUUCGAACACCAGAUGUACCAGAUGUAAAUGUUUUUCUUUGGAGAUAAAUUGUUGAGAAGGUUGAAAAUAUAGUUUUCUUGGGUUACAGCAAUUAGUCUAAAGGUUAUAGAAUUUGCAAGUUGAAAACAAACAAGAUUUUUGUCUAUGGGGACAUUUAGGUGGAUGAGAAUGCCUUUAGAAAUUAGCACGAAUGCAAGAUGCUGAAGUUCAUUGUGAAUUGUGAUGCUUCUUCAAUUUCUGGCAAGGAAUCUCGACUCAGUUCCCUAAUAUUUAAAACCAAACCACCAAGAUAUAUGAAAGAUGUAAUGUAGCUACAAUUGUCUGUUGACCCUUCCAACUUCUUUGGAACUUUCAAGUUUCAACAAUGGAAUCAAGAAAUGCAGUAAAACCCAAAUCGGGGCGAGUUUUUCAAACUUUGACCAGUGCAAGCUGGGUUCAAGGAAAACCCAAAGUGAAAGGAACCAAAGACAAGGCAAGGUUGAUAUUGAUAUAUAAGUAUCCUCACACCAUUCCAAAUAUACAAAUUACAUCACAUAGACAGACAUACACUUUGAUCUAAGUCAGGAUUUUACCUAUGAUUUUGUCUCCACCUUACACAACCCUUAUUUAUAAGCAGUAAAUAACCAAUUAGGCCAGUAGUAAAUAUCAGUAUUUUGUAUGAUACAAUUGAUGCUUGAUGUAAUGAUUAUGAUGUUAGCCAUGUAAUGCUCAUGAAAAAU
rnacentral:misc_RNA from 1 species